rnacentral:tmRNA from 1 species
AAUGGUUUCGACGGGGGUAAGAGAAGUUAGAGAAGCGAGUGGAGGGAACUCUGGGCCCGCCUUAAAAAACUAGGGAUUAAAGAUAAACGCAGAAGAUAAUUUUGCAUUAGCAGCUUAAUAUAGCUGUUCGUUCUACCCGGGAGUCCUACGGCCUGGGAUAGGGCGCCGAUUAGUAGGGAACCGCGCCUAGGAAAGCUUUGACCUAGGAACGGAAAUUAUGAAGCUACUGAAAUGAAGAGCCUGUCUGUCGGCGAUUCAUGGAGGGAAUGUUAAAAGAUAGACUGCACUCGGAGAUGCUCGGCGGAUCUACUUUCGGACAGGGGUUCGAUUCA